rnacentral:rRNA from 1 species
UACGUAGGUGGCAAGCGUUGUCCGGAUUUACUGGGCGUAAAGAGCGCGCAGGCGGUCGUUCAAGUCGCGUGUGAAAGCCCCCGGCUCAACUGGGGAGGGUCACGCGAUACUGAUCGACUCGAAGGCAGGAGAGGGUAGUGGAAUUCCGGUGUAGUGGUGAAAUGCGUAGAUAUCGGGAGGAACACCAGUGGCGAAGGCGACUACCUGGCCUGUUCUUGACGCUGAGGCGACGAAAGGCUGAGGGAAGCAAG